rnacentral:rRNA from 1 species
AGAUUGAACGCUGGCGGCAGGCCUAACACAUGCAAGUCGAGCGGUAGAGAGGUGCUUGCAUCUCUUGAGAGCGGCGGACGGGUGAGUAAUGCCUAGGAAUCUGCCUAGUGGUGGGGGAUAACGUUCGGAAACGGACGCUAAUACCGCACACGUCCUACGGGAGAAAGCGGGGGACCUUCGGGCCUCGCGCCAUUAGAUGAGCCUAGGUCGGAUUAGCUAGUUGGUGAGGUAAUGGCUCACCAAGGCGACGAUCCGUAACUGGUCUGAGAGGAUGAUCAGUCACACUGGAACUGAGACACGGUCCAGACUCCUACGGGGAGCAGCAGUGGGGAAUAUUGGACUAAGUGGGACGAAAGCC